CCUGGCUCAGGAUGAACGCUAGCGGCAGGCUUAACACAUGCAAGUCGAGGGGCAGCGCGGGGUAGCAAUACUCUGGCGGCGACCGGCGAAAGGGUGCGUAACGCGUGAGCAACUUGCCCGUAUCCGGGACAUAAGCGGUGGAAACGCCGUCUAAUUUCCCAUAACAACAGGAGCCGCAUGACUCCAGUUUGAAAGAUCCGUCGGAUACGGAUGGGCUCGCGAGACAUUAGCUAGUCGGCGUGGUAACGGCACACCGAGGCGACGAUGUCUAGGGGUUCUGAGAGGAAGGUCCCCCACAUUGGAACUGAGACACGGUCCAGACUCCUACGGGAGGCAGCAGUGAGGAAUAUUGGACAAUGGCCGGAAGGCUGAUCCAGCCAUGCCGCGUGCGGGAAGACGGCCCUAUGGGUUGUAAACCGCUUUUGUUGGGGAGCAAUAAGGUCCACGUGUGGAUUGAUGAGAGUACCCAGCGAAUAAGCAUCGGCUAACUCCGUGCC
rnacentral:rRNA from 1 species